rnacentral:lncRNA from 1 species
CUGCCAGUCUCAAAAAUGGAACCAAAGUUCCUGAAAUGAGAAUUCGUCACCAGCAGGAGGGAGACUCACGAGCGACACCAUACACAUUCGAGUAUUGGAACUCGAAUGAGACGUGCUUCAUUUUAAAAUCACGAGAAGGUGACCGAUGUGAGCAGCACACCUGGAACUCCAAGGCUGAGCAUAGCCGCCCUUUAUGUGAAAAGGCGUACAGUGCCCUGUGUGGCCACCACACACACCCCAUUUUCAAACCAAGCUGCAUUAGAGAGGUGCCUAUUUGUAUUGGUCUACCGAGCAAUUGUUGACUGCAAGGGUGGCAAGAAAAUA